GACGAAGGGGGCUAGCGUUGUUCGGAAUUAUUGGGCGUAAAGCGCGUGUAGGCGGCUUUGCAAGUCGGGUGUGAAAGCCCUCAGCUCAACUGAGGAAGUGCGCCCGAAACUGCAGAGCUUGAGUACCGGAGAGGAUGGCGGAAUUCCCCAAGUAGAGGUGAAAUUCGUAGAUAUGGGGAGGAACACCGGUGGCGAAGGCGACUUUCUGGCCUGUUCUUGACGCUGAGGCGCGAAAGCUAGGGGAGCAAUCGGG
rnacentral:rRNA from 1 species